AUUGAACGCUGGCGGCAGGCCUAACACAUGCAAGUCGAACGGUAACAGAAAGCAGCUUGCUGCUUUUCUGACGAGUGGCGGACGGGUGAGUAAUGUCUGAGAAACUGCCUGAUGGAGGGGGAUAACUACUGGAAACGGUAGCUAAUACCGCAUAACGUCGCAAGCCCAAAGAGGGGGACCUUCGGGCCUCUUGCCAUCGGAUGUGCCCAGAUGGGAUUAGAUAGUAGGUGGGGUAAAGUCUCACCUAGGCGACGAUCCAUAGAUGGUCUGAGAGGAUGAUAAGCCACACUGGAAGUGAGACACGGUCAAGAAGCCUAAGGGAGGCAGCAGUGGGGAAUAUUGCACAAUGGGCGCAAGCCUGAUGCAGUCAUGCCGCGUGUAUGAAGAAGGCCUUCGGGUUGUAAAGUACGUUCAGCGGGGAGGAAGGGAGUAAAGUUAAUACCUUUGCUCAUUGACGUUACCCGCAGAAGAAGCACCGGCUAACUACGUG
rnacentral:rRNA from 1 species